UACGGGGGGGGCAAGCGUUGUUCGGAAUUACUGGGCGUAAAGGGCUCGUAGGUGGCCAACUAAGUCGGACGUGAAAUCCCUCGGCUCAACUGGGGAACUGCGCGGGAAACUGUCGGACUUGAGUUCGGGAGAGGGAAGCGGAAUUCCGGGUGUAGCGGUGAAAUGCGUAGAUAUCCGGAGGAACACCGGUGGCGAAGGCGGCUUCCUGGACCGACACUGACGCUGAGGCGCGAAAGCUAGGGGAGCAAACGGG
rnacentral:rRNA from 1 species